rnacentral:RNase_P_RNA from 1 species
GGGCAGGGUGCCAGGUAACGCCUGGGGGGGAAACCCACGACCAGUGCGACAGAGAGCAAACCGCCGAUGGCCCGCGCAAGCGGGAUCAGGUAAGGGUGAAAGGGUGCGGUAAGAGCGCACCGCGCGGCUGGUAACAGUCCGUGGCACGGUAAACUCCACCCGGAGCAAGGCCAAAUAGGGGUUCACAUGGUACGGCCCGUACUGAACCCGGGUAGGCUGCUUGAGCCAGUGAGCGAUUGCUGGCCUAGAUGAAUGACUGUCCACGACAGAACCCGGCUUAUCGGUCAGCUUCAACU